GAAAUAUAAAUUUAAGAGCAAGCUUCUAACUUAGUUCUUUAGUGGUGAAACUCCAUUAAUAUUUCU
rnacentral:tRNA from 1 species